rnacentral:tRNA from 2 species
CGGAAGUAGCUCAGUUGGUAGAGCAUCAGCUUCCCAAGCUGAGGGUCGCGAGUUCGAACCUCGUCUUCC